rnacentral:rRNA from 1 species
GGAAGUUUAAGGCAAUAACAGGUCUGUGAUGCCCUUAGAUGUCCUGGGCUGCACGCGCGCUACACUGAUGCGUUCAUCGAGUUUAUCCUUGGCCGAGAGGCCUGGGUAAUCUUUAGUACGCAUCGUGAUGGGGAUCGAUUAUUGCAAUUGUUAAUCGUGAACGAGGAAUGCCUAGUAUGCGCAAGUCAUCAGCUUGUGCAGAUUACGUCCCUGCCCUUUGUACACACCGCCCGUCGCUCCUACCGAUCAAGUGAUC